rnacentral:pre_miRNA from 1 species
ACUGGCUGAGGUAGUAGUUUGUGCUGUUGGUCGGGUUGUGACAUUGCCCGCUAUGGCGAUGACUGCGCAAGCUACUGCCUUGCUGGU